rnacentral:tRNA from 1 species
UGCCGGUCUUGGCGCGGACGACACCGGCGGCGUCGGCCGCCGCGUCCGUGUAGCGGGUGGUGAGGGUGCCGGUGAAACCGGCGACGGGCAG